rnacentral:rRNA from 1 species
GUCUACGGCUAUUCCACCCCUGAACGCUCCAGAUCUCGUCUGAUCUCGGAAGCUAAGCAGGGUCGGGCCUGGUUAGUACUUCGAUGGGAGACCGCCUGGAAAUACCGGGUGCUGUAGGCU